rnacentral:rRNA from 1 species
GACGAACACUGGCGGCGUGCUUAACACAUGCAAGUCGAACGGUAAGGCCCUUCGGGGUACACGAGUGGCGAACGGGUGAGUAACGCGUGGGUGAUCUGCCCUGCACUUCGGGAUAAGCCUGGGAAACUGGGUCUAAUACCGGAUAGGACUCCUGGCUUCAUGGUUGGGGGUGGAAAGCUUUGCGGUGUGGGAUGGGCCCGCGGCCUAUCAGCUUGUUGGUGGGGUAAUGGCCUACCAAGGCGACGACGGGUAGCCGGCCUGAGAGGGUGACCGGUCACACUGGGACUGAGAUACGGCCCAGACUCCUACGGGAGGCAGCAGUGGGGAAUAUUGCACAAUGGGCGCAAGCCUGAUGCAGCGACGCCGCGUGAGGGAUGACGGCCUUCGGGUUGUAAACCUCUUUCAGCUAUGACGAAGCGCAAGUGACGGUAGUAGCAGAAGAAGGACCGGCCAACUACGUGCCAGCCGCCGCAGUAA